rnacentral:rRNA from 1 species
CUUGGUCAUUUAGAGGAAGUAAAAGUCGUAACAAGGUCUCCGUAGGUGAACCUGCGGAGGGAUCAUUACCGAGUGAGGGCCUUCGGGCUCGACCUCCAACCCUUUGUGAACACAACUUGUUGCUUCGGGGGCGACCCUGCCGUUCCGACGGCGAGCGCCCCCGGAGGCCUUCAAACACUGCAUCUUUGCGUCGGAGUUUAAGUAAAUUUAAACAAAACUUUCAACAACGGAUCUCUUGGUUCUGGCAUCGAUGAAGAACGCAGCGAAAUGCGAUAAGUAAUGUGAAUUGCAGAAUUCAGUGAAUCAUCGAAUCUUUGAACGCACAUUGCGCCCUCUGGUAUUCCGGAGGGCAUGCCUGUUCGAGCGUCAUUUCACCACUCAAGCCUGGCUUGGUAUUGGGCGCCGCGGUGUUCCGCGCGCCUUAAAGUCUCCGGCUGAGCUGUCCGUCUCCAAGCGUUGUGAUUUCAUUAAUCGCUUCGGGGUGCGGGCGGCCGCGGCCGUUAAAUCUUUCACAAGGUUGACCUCGGAUCAGGUAGGGAUACCCGCUGAACUUAAGCAUAUCAAUAAGCGGAGGA